CCCGUGCACUCGCUAUCCAGCAGGUAACAGGGGGAGCAAGCAAAAACCCGCUUGAGCUUGGAAGAUGCCAGCCGUGAGGCUGUGCUGGAGUCUGCUAUAUGGUUACGUAGAUGGUAAGAGGAGGUGAGAAUGGCUGCUCAUGCUGCUAAUUGUAGGACAGAGAGAAGCUAGCCUAAUAUUAGUGUUAGGAAAGUGGUAAAUCCCAAUGGCGGUGGGAUUGUUGUGAUGCCUAAUGGAGACUGCUGUUUGGUGAUGCCUAAUGGUGAUAGGAGUUAGCAGGGUGAUGCCUUAUGG